CCUACGGGAUGCAGCAGUGGGGAAUAUUGCACAAUGGGCGCAAGCCUGAUGCAGCCAUGCCGCGUGUGUGAAGAAGGCCUUCGGGUUGUAAAGCACUUUCAGCGGGGAGGAAGGCGAUAAGGUUAAUAACCUUGUCGAUUGACGUUACCCGCAGAAGAAGCACCGGCUAACUCCGUGCCAGCAGCCGCGGUUAUACGGAGGGUGCAAGCGUUAAUCGGAAUUACUGGGCGUAAAGCGCACGCAGGCGGUCUGUCAAGUCGGAUGUGAAAUCCCCGGGCUCAACCUGGGAACUGCAUUCGAAACUGGCGGGCUAGAGUCUUGUAGAGGGGGGUAGAAUUCCAGGUGUAGCGGUGAAAUGCGUAGAGAUCUGGAGGAAUACCGGUGGCGAAGGCGGCCCCCUGGACAAAGACUGACGCUCAGGUGCGAAAGCGUGGGGGGCAAACAGGAUUAGAUACCCUCGUAGUC
rnacentral:rRNA from 1 species